UACGUAGGGUGCGAGCGUUAAUCGGAAUUACUGGGCGUAAAGCGUGCGCAGGCGGUUUUGUAAGCCAGAUGUGAAAUCCCCGGGCUUAACCUGGGAAUGGCAUUUGGGACUGCAAGGCUUGAGUGCGGCAGAGGAGACUGGAAUUCCUGGUGUAGCAGUGAAAUGCGUAGAUAUCAGGAGGAACACCGAUGGCGAAGGCAGCUCACUGGGACGGUACUGACGCUGAGACGCGAAAGCGUGGGGAGCAAACAGG
rnacentral:rRNA from 1 species